CUGGGUGUGGCUCAAUCUGGUCAGAGCGUCGGUUCGGGGAACCGAAGAUUGGGGGUUCAAAUCCCUCCACCCAGA
rnacentral:tRNA from 1 species